CCUACGGGAGGCAGCAGUGGGGAAUAUUGCACAAUGGGCGCAAGCCUGAUGCAGCCAUGCCGCGUGUAUGAAGAAGGCCUUCGGGUUGUAAAGUACUUUCAGCGGGGAGGAAGGCGAUAAGGUUAAUAACCUUGUCGAUUGACGUUACCCGCAGAAGAAGCACCGGCUAACUCCGUGCCAGCAGCCGCGGUAAUACGGAGGGUGCAAGCGUUAACCGGAAUUACUGGGCGUAAAGCGCACGCAGGCGGUCUGUCAAGUCGGAUGUGAAAUCCCCGGGCUCAACCUGGGAACUGCAUUCGAAACUGGCAGGCUGGAGUCUUGUAGAGGGGGGUAGAAUUCCAGGUGUAGCGGUGAAAUGCGUAGAGAUCUGGAGGAAUACCGGUGGCGAAGGCGGCCCCCUGGACAAAGACUGACGCUCAGGUGCGAAAGCGUGGGGAGCAAACAGGAUUAGAUACCCUAGUAGUC
rnacentral:rRNA from 1 species